CGCUAUCACUCCUACGGGAGGCAGCAGUGGGGAAUAUUGCACAAUGGGGGAAACCCUGAUGCAGCCAUGCCGCGUGUGUGAAGAAGGCCUUCGGGUUGUAAAGCACUUUCAGUAGGGAGGAAGGUAGUGUAGUUAACACCUGCAUUAUUUGACGUUACCUACAGAAGAAGCACCGGCUAACUCCGUGCCAGCAGCCGCGGUAAUACGGAGGGUGCGAGCGUUAAUCGGAAUUACUGGGCGUAAAGCGCAUGCAGGCGGCCUGUUAAGUCAGAUGUGAAAGCCCGGGGCUUAACCUCGGAAUUGCAUUUGAAACUGGCAGGCUAGAGUCUUGUAGAGGGGGUAGAAUUUCAGGUGUAGCGGUGAAAAUGCGUAGAGAUCUGAAGGAAUACCAGUGGCGAAGGCGGCCCCCUGGACAAAGACUGACGCUCAGAUGCGGAAGCGUGGGGAGCAAACAGGAUUAGAUACCCUGGUAG
rnacentral:rRNA from 1 species